UACGAAGGGGGCUAGCGUUGUUCGGAAUUACUGGGCGUAAAGCGCACGUAGGCGGGUUUGUAAGUAGGGGUGAAAUCCCAGGGCUCAACCCUGGAACUGCCUUCUAGACCUGCAAGCCUGGAGGUCAGGAGAGGCGAGUGGAAUACCGAGUGUAGAGGUGAAAUUCGUAGAUAUUCGGUGGAACACCAGUGGCGAAGGCGACUCGCUGGACUGAUACUGACGCUGAGGUGCGAAAGCGUGGGGGAGCAAACAGGAUAGAA
rnacentral:rRNA from 1 species